CAUUUUCCAAUUAUAAUGAUAAAGGCAAAGAACGAAUCAAUGUCUAUAUUACGAGAAGGACUUGUAGGUUUGAACCGCACCGGGAAGAUCCCGUAUCAUUUGGCCCUAAUCACCGCACCUCACGAAGAGUAUUACGUUGGUGAUCUUACCUACCCACCGCACCGGUAAAUCCGUAUCCUUUGGUGGUGUCCCCAUAUCCAUAAUUAGUUACAUACAGUGCACAUGUACGAAUUAAAACAAUACUUAUAUAGUAUAAAUUCAAAUAAUCCCACACGAGCUAACUAGCAAACACAAUCAUCAAUACAAAGGUGUGAGAGAACUCACCUUGAGUGAGUAUUAAGGAUGGAUAACAAUCAAAUAAUGCUACCAAGCUUGAGCAAACUUCAAAACCUCACCUAAGAAGGACUAAAGGUUAGAAAGGAGAAGUAACGAAGCUAUGAGUUGAGAAAAGAGUAAUCACAACAAGGUCUCUAAAACAGACCUGCUGUUCAAAAUGGAUUUACUCCAAAAUAUAAAACAGAAACAUAGCUUUAACUAAAUUUUAUAGGAAACUACGAUUUCUCUGGAUUCCACAACUAUAAAUAACUCAUUCUAACUCCAAAAGAUGAAUUAAAUAUGAAUUUUACAAAAUGGUGUAUCACUUCUGUCUCCAACAAUACAGUCAAGUGAUGUUGGCCAAUUCUACCCAACUUGUGAGUAGAAGUAGUCCAAAAUAAAAUUAAGAGAAGUAAAGGAUAUACAAGUGAAAGUCUCAGAGUUGGAAUUGAAUGAAAAGCAUCUCUCAAACUCCAGAUAUAAAAUUCACAUUGUGGACAAUCACAGCACUAGCAAAAGCUGGUGACUGCCCACUGACCUGGAGUGUGGAUCCAUUCUAACCAAUUUAUAAUUGGAAAUAACACCCCAUAUUCUCCAGAUCUUAAAUUCAUAAUAUAAGGAACAUAUAGAAACUUGGAAUCACUCUGGAUCCUUUUCCAAGCCUUAGAAAUGAUGAAAACAAAAUGACAUAUCAGAACAGACCCGGAUCAGACCUAACAGCAAAGAUGCCAUUCUUUCACAUAGAUAAAGCCCUUAUCAGUGAGGUUGGCCUUCUUAAGAAAGUUAGCCAACUCAAUUUGUGAACUUUUGGAACUGGUUUGGGGUCCGUUUGAGUUCUAGAGCUCCAGAUAUGAUUUUUACAAAAUGACUACAGAUCUGAUGGAAAACAGAAUCGUAGCCACCCGUGAUUCCUUUUUGGCUUAUCCAUCCUUCUCCUUUUGAAACACAUUUUAAGAUGUGUUCAUCAUCCCAAUUCAGUCCCCAUGAUAAUGGUGGUACUAAAAAGGGUUAGGGAUCAUUAGGAUUUCAUUUAGCCUCAAGGAUGUAAUAAUAAUCAACAUGAAAAUAAACAUAAGCACAUAAAAUCAUCAUUCUCCCUUUUAGGGUUUCCAUGAUCUUUUGCCACAUGUAAUCCCCUAGAUCCAUCAUCCACCAUAUAUGGGGUGAAGAUAGGAUCUUGAGAUGAUGUAUAACAUACAAUUACAAAUAAAAUAAGAAGGAGAAGAGGUGAAGAUGAAAUCAUAAAACUAGAACAAGGUUAUGAAUCAAGUUGUAAGAAAGGAUAAGGAGGUUCAUACCAAUACGAAUCAAGGCUGGAAAUGAACAAGAAUUAAGCUCCAAACAGCCCCUUGGCUGCUCUUGAUCCCAAAGAGAGAGAGAGGGACGAUUUUUGAGAGAGAGGGAGGGUUUAGAGUGUUUUCCUUGUGUGUGUUCCAAAUGAUUCAAUUUACACAUUAAGUACUAUUAACUAGAUGGACUUUGCAAAUAGGCCCAUAGCCCAUGGACUUCAAUAAAAGGAGUUUACAAGAUGAUCAAAAGAGUCCAAUAACAUAAGAAAUCAGACAUUGGUUAAAUAAAUUAACCCAAGGUUACAAGGAUAAUUAAAUUAAAAUAACCAAACGUACCGAGAAAACCCGGGGCGUUACAACUCUCCCCCACUAAGAACGGACUUCGUCCUCGAAGUCAACACCUAGAAACAGAUCCGGAUAAUGAGCCCGCAUCUCGCAUUCCGGUUCCCAAGUCCAUUCCGAACCCUUCCUAUGUUGCCACUGCACCUUAACCAGGUUUAUAGUCUUGUUGCGGAGAGCUUUCGUCUUUCGUUCUAAAAUAGCGAUUGGUUUCUCAACAUAAUUGAGACGCUCGUCAAUUUGUAUGUCCUCCAGUGGUAUCACAGCGGUCUCAUCAACAACGCAUUUUCGUAACUGAGACACGUGGAACGUAUUAUGAAUUAGACUAAGCUCGUCAGGAAGCUCUAAACGGUAAGCCACCUUCCCCACACGAGCUAUGACCUUGUAGGGUCCAAUGAAUCGGGGUCCGAGCUUUCCCCGCUUCCGAAAUCGAAUCACACCUUUCCAGGGGGAGACUUUAAGCAACACAUAAUCUCCCACCUGGAACUCAAGAUUGGAGCGUCUUUUGUCGGCAUAACUUUUCUGACGACUGCUCGCUGUGACCAAAUGAUCCCGAAUCACUUGGAUUUUCUCCGUAGUCUGUAGCACGAUAUCAGUACUCCCAAGUACCCUCUGCCCAACCUCGCCCCAACAAACGGGCGUCCUGCACUUCCUCCCGUACAAGGCUUCAUACGGAGGCAUUUUAAUGCUCGAGUGAUAGCUGUUGUUAUAAGAAAACUCAGCUAGAUGUAGAUGGUCAUCCCAACUACCCCCAAAAUCAAUCGCACACGCCCUAAGCAUGUCCUCCAAGGUCUGAAUCGUCCGCUCACUCUGCCCGUCUGUCUGCGGAUGGAAGGCGGUACUAAAAUGUAAUCGUGUGCCCAAUUCCUCUUGAAACUUCCUCCAGAACCGAGAGGUAAAUCGGGUGUCUCGAUCGGAGACGAUAGAAACGGGCACCCCAUGUAAUGAGACAAUCUCCCGAACAAAGAUCUCGGCUAAUUUCUCCGCCGAUGAGCUCUCCUUUAUAGCCAGAAAGUGAGCACUCUUAGUCAAACGAUCAACAAUCACCCAUAUCGUAUCUGAUCCUCGGGCAGUUCUAGGAAGUUUUGUAAUGAAGUCCAUGGUUAGAUGCUCCCAUUUCCAUUCAGGAAUCUCCAAUGGUUGCAACUUCCCAUGCGGUUUCUGGUGUUCCGCCUUGACCUUCCGACAGGUCAUACAUUCUUCCACAAAUCGAGCCACAUCAUUCUUCAUUCCAUGCCACCAGUAAGCCUCAUGAAGGUCCCGAUACAUUUUAGUAGCACCAGGAUGGAUAGAAAAUUUUGACUUAUGAGACUCAUCCAUUAGGGUUUUCCGAUUUCCCCCGGUAUAUGGAACCCAAACCCUACCGUAGCGAGUCAGCAAACCCCGCCCGUCUCGUUCCAUCUUAGGCAACUCUUUCCCAAUCUUCUCACGCCAGAUGUUUUCUUCCAGUAUUGCCGUCUUUUGGGCGUCCCGGAUUAGAUCUAACAAAGACGACACCAUCGUGAUCCGGAGACACUUAGCUCGAAUUGGUUCGGCAGAUUGUUUACGACUAAGAGCAUCAGCUACCACAUUAGCUUUACCGGGGUGGUAGUGAAUUUCACAAUCAUAAUCUUUUACCACAUCUAACCAUCGGAUCUGCCUCAUAUUCAAAUCCCGCUGCUCGAACAAAUAUUUUAGACUCUUAUGGUCAGUGUAUAUGAUAAACUUCACUCCAUAGAGAUAGUGUCUCCAAAUCUUAAGAGCGAAAACAACAGCCCCAAGCUCCAAAUCAUGAGUGGGGUAGUUUCGUUCGUGGGGUUUCAGCUGUCGGGAGGCAUAGGCUAUCACCCUAUCUCGUUGCAUUAACACGGCACCAAGACCUUGAAGCGAUGCAUCACAGUAAACCACCAUAUCCUCAACCCCAUCAGGUAAGGCCAAAAUCGGAGCUUCACACAAUCGUUUCCUUAACUCAUCAAACGCCAGUUGCUGCUCCGGGCCCCAAACGAAUUUCAUUGAUUUCUUGGUCAAUCGGGUGAGUGGUAAGGCGAUUUUAGAGAAAUUUUCAAUGAACCUCCGGUAAUAACCGGCUAAACCCAAGAAACUGCGAAUUUCAGAAGGUGUUUUCGGAAUCUUCCAUUGUUUAACCGCAUCAACCUUGGCUUGAUCGACCUUGAUACCUUGUUUGUUUACCACAUGCCCCAAGAACUGAACUUCUUCCAACCAAAAUUCACAUUUUGAAAAUUUAGCAUAAAGCCUUUCUCUUGCCAGAGUUUCCAGAAUCUCCCGAAGGUGUUGCUGAUGCUCCUCUUUGCUCUUAGAAUAGACUAAGAUAUCAUCUAUGAACACUAUGACCGAACGGUCAAGCAUCAGGCUACACACCCGGUUCAUGAGAUCCAUGAACGCUGCGGGUGCAUUGGUGAGCCCAAAAGGCAUCACUACGAAUUCAAAGUGCCCAUAUCGAGUACGGAAUGCUGUUUUCUCAAUGUCUUCUUCACGAACACGCAUCUGAUGGUAACCGGAACGUAAAUCAAUCUUGGAAAACCAAGAUGCUCCCUGAAGCUGAUCGAAAAGAUCGUCAAUACGUGGCAACGGGUACCUAUUCUUUAUCGUGCGCUUGUUUAGCUCCCUAUAAUCAAUACACAUUCGCUGGGAUCCAUCUUUCUUCUUCACAAAGAGAAUAGGAGCACCCCAAGGCGAGCAGCUUGGCCGUAUAAACCCUUUAUCACUUAGUUCUUGAAGUUGAUCUUGGAGCUCUUUCAUUUCAGGUGGUGCCAAGCGGUAAGGAGAUUUCGCUACCGGAGUCGCACCUGGCACCAAAUCAAUGCGAAACUCCACUUGCCGAACAGGUGGCAAGCCAGGGAGUUCCUCCGGAAAGACAUCGCUGAAGUCGGAAACGAUAGGAACGUCGUCUAGUGCUAUAGCAGAAGAGCAAGAAGCCAUAGCCAGGCGGGGAAUGUCCCCCUGAAUAAUAAGUUCUCCACCUCUAGGGUUUCGAACACGAACUUGCUUCUUACGACAGUGGAUUUCCGCAUCAAACGCAUCAAGCCAAUCCAUGCCUACGAUAACGCAGAGCUCUCGCAUCGCAAUAGGGAUAAGAUCAAUAGGGAAUUCAACUCCAGAAAACUCGAGAGUGCAACCCCGAUAGACAUCGGUGACAUAAAUAGUGCGGUUGUCGGCAACUUCGACAACCAUUGGGUGAGCCAAUUUUCCGAUACUACGCCCCAAACGAUUAAUAAACGUGUGAGAUACAAAAGAAUGGGUAGCACCGCUAUCAAACAUAACAACAUCGGGCUUGGAAUCUAGCAAAUAAGUGUCUGCCACUGUCGUUGUAAUCACCGGCUCCUCCACAGUCAUCUGGUGAGCACGACCUCGUGUCACCAUAGUGGUUCCCUUAGAGGAUGAUGCAAUUGCAGGAUUUGUACCCCUGUCUCCUUUACCAGUCUUCAACUUCGGGCAUUCAGGCUUCUUGUGUCCCGUCUCGUUGCAGUGAUAGCAGACGGGAACUGCAGAAGUAAUAUGAGGUACUGCACUCGCAGGGGGAUCCCUACAAUUCUUCCAAUGAUGCCCUGGCUUUUUGCAGUUGUAGCAUAUCAACAUAUUUUUCUCGCCCUGAAGACGUCCUAUACUCAUACCUUGACUUACUACCCUGCUUUUGCGUUUUCUGGGCAUCUCUGGAUGUCUUGGAAGAGGUGUCAUUGGCCUUCCUCUUGGACUGGGUCUGCAACUCGAUUUCCCUCCUCCUCGCUACAUUCAUGAUCGCAGAUAAAGUCGAGAACUCCUGCAUGCUAACGAAUUCCCGAAUCUCGAUACGUAGGAUGGCCGUGUACCGGCUGACUAACCAGGCCUCGUUCCCAGCAAACGAGGGGCAAAAAGAUAGCAUCUCCAAGAACUUGGCGUUCAGGUCACUAACGGAUUCGGUAGUCUGCUGUAAGGCCAUGAACUCUUGCUGCAUCCGCUGCUGCUCCACCUUAGGCACAUAUUGUGCCUCGAACCUCUCCACAAAUUGGGCCCAAGACAUGGCCCUCACUUCGUCUUCGUUCAAUAGAGCGGUGAUGGUGUUCCACUAUGUCUUUCCCCUUUUUCACAGCUGAUUCAUGGCGAUCACUGCUUUGUACUAGUCCGGACACCCAACACUUAUGAAGGCGCCCUCAACAUCUGACACCCAGGGCUUAGUAGCAACUGGGUCGGAUUCACCAUUCCAAAGAGGAGAGCUACACUUGUUGAACUUCUCGAAGUAGUAUGCCGAAUCCUGAACAGGCAGAGACAGUAACGCUUCCCCGGGAAUAGCCGCGAGGCGCUCAUCCAGAAGAGCACCGAAUUGGUUGAUUAUGUCGUUGGUCACACCCGGGAUUAGUUCGUUGAAACCGUUAUUGAAUUCCUCAGCGACAAUAUCCCUAACUUGCUCCAUUUGGAGCUGAUUAAGUCGAGCAGGCAGAGCCAUUGGUAUCCACAGAAGAAGGAAAAUCUUAGAAACAAUUCAGCCUAGAUAUUUCUAGGAAGACAAAACACUCAGCUUGCCGAAAAUUUUUCAACCUUGCCCCGACUCGAAACCGGCACCGAUGUUUCAAAUAGUAGGGGCCCUUCUACUACCUUCCACACAAGUUCCAAUUUCGCAUUCGCGUCUAGUUUCAAAAUUUCCAGUUCGCUCUAGCCGUUAAUUUUACAACUCUCUCACGUGUUAACACUAACUAAGUGUGUAAUCUAAUAUUUUAAGGCUAGUAGAAUCAAAUUCAUAUUCAACAAUUUAACAUUAACAUUUAACAUAAGAAAUAAGGCUUACUUGGCUGGCUAACUGGUACACCGCGGCAUCUUUCACUACUAGUCUUCAGAAAGUUUGAAAAAUAUUUUAAAAAGAAAAUAAACUCUUAUAGAGCCUCAAAUUUGAGUCUAGAACAUCCACAAGAAUGCCUAGUUCCCUCAAACUGUGGCUCUGAUACCAACUUGUGACACCCAAUUUUUUUUUUUAAAAAUUUUAAACUUUUAAAACCCAUCUUAAAUUAAAUUAAAACAACUGAAAUAGUCAUAACAUAAUCCAUCAACUUAAUAAUCAUAUAAAAUAAGUGCGGAAGUAAUAAUAAUAAUAAGGUCCCAACAAAAUAACUAGUAGCGAUGUCCCGAUGCUCCAUGUCAAGCCUUAGCCUCUUUAAUCUUAACACCUGAAAAGUUAUAAGGGAAAAACGUAAGCACGAAGCUUAGUGAAUUCAAACACAGACAUUGUACUAACAUUCAUAUUUACUAGCCCUAAUCCAUUUUCCAAUUAUAAUGAUAAAGGCAAAGAACGAAUCAAUGUCUAUAUUACGAGAAGGACUUGUAGGUUUGAACCGCACCGGGAAGAUCCCGUAUCAUUUGGCCCUAAUCACCGCACCUCACGAAGAGUAUUACGUUGGUGAUCUUACCUACCCACCGCACCGGUAAAUCCGUAUCCUUUGGUGGUGUCCCCAUAUCCAUAAUUAGUUACAUACAGUGCACAUGUACGAAUUAAAACAAUACUUAUAUAGCAUGCUUUUAUAAUAAAUUCAAAUAAUCACACACGAGCUAACUAGCAAACACAAUCAUCAAUACAACGGUGUGAGAGAACUCACCUUGAGUGAGUAUUAAGGAUGGCUAACAAUCAAAUAAUGCUACCAAGCUUGAGCAAACUUCAAAACCUCACCUAAGAAGGACUAAAGGUUAGAAAGGAGAAGUAAUGAAGCUAUGAGUUGAGAAAAGAGUAAUCACAGCAAGGUCUCUAAAACAGACCUGCUGUUCAAAACGGAUUUACUCCAAAAUCUAAAACAGAAACAUAGCUUUAACUAAAUUUUAUAGGAAACUAUGAUUGCUCAGGAUUCCACAACUAUAAAGAACUCAUUCUAACUCCAAAAGAUGAAUUAAAUAUGAAUUUUACAAAAUGGUGUAUC
rnacentral:lncRNA from 1 species